rnacentral:rRNA from 1 species
GAUGAACGCUGGCGGCGUGCUUAACACAUGCAAGUCGAACGGAAAGGCCCAAGCUUGCUUGGGUACUCGAGUGGCGAACGGGUGAGUAACACGUGGGUGAUCUGCCCUGCACUUCGGGAUAAGCCUGGGAAACUGGGUCUAAUACCGGAUAGGACCACUUCUUGGAUGUUGUGGUGGAAAGUUUUUUCGGUGUGGGAUGAGCUCGCGGCCUAUCAGCUUGUUGGUGGGGUAAUGGCCUACCAAGGCGUCGACGGGUAGCCGGCCUGAGAGGGUGUACGGCCACAUUGGGACUGAGAUACGGCCCAGACGCCUACGGGAGGCAGCAGUGGGGAAUAUUGCACAAUGGGCGCAAGCCUGAUGCAGCGACGCCGCGGGGGGGAGGACGGCCUUCGGGUUGUAAACGCCUUUCGCUAGGGACGAAGCGUUUUGUGACGGUACCUGGAGAAGAAGCACCGGCUAACUACGUG